CCCAACUUGAGUUCCUAUUUCUCAACCCUAGCCCAAACCCUAGCCGGCCCUCUGUCUCUCUCUCGCUCGCUGAGAGGAAGAAUCUGGAGAAGAUGUCGCACUUCGGAAGAUCUGGUCCUCCAGACAUCAGAGACACCUAUUCGCUCCUCGUUCUCAACAUCACUUUCCGAACCACUGCAGAUGAUUUGUUCCCCCUCUUCGAGAAGUAUGGCAAGGUGGUCGAUGUCUUCAUCCCGAGAGACCGGAGGACUGGUGAUUCGCGUGGUUUUGCGUUUGUUCGGUACAAGUAUGCCGACGAAGCUCAGAAGGCGGUCGAAAAGCUAGAUGGGAGAGUUGUUGAUGGCAGAGAGAUAAUGGUUCAAUUUGCUAAGUAUGGACCUAAUGCUGAACGAAUUCAUAAAGGGAGAAUACUAGAGCCCGUAUCAAGGUCAAAAGGUAGGUCAAGAAGCCGGAGUCCUCGACCAAGGUAUAGGGAUGAAUACAAAGACAAAGAUUACAGGAGGAGAAGUCGCAGCAGAAGUAGGGGUAAGUAUGACCGUGACCGGCAGCGUGGAAGGGAAAGAGAUUAUCGUCAUCGGAGUAGGAGCCGCAGUGUAAGUCCUGAUUAUCGCAAAGACCGUGGGAGAGCGAGGUAUGAUGAUGAGAGGCGCAGUCCAAGUCGGUCUUAUGGAAGUGCCUCCCCUGCUCGUCGUAGCCCCAGUCCUCAGAGGAGCCCCUCUCCACGUAGGACACCUCCAUCUAGGAAUCGGAGUCCUGAUUCUCGCAAUGGUGAAGAACGUUCACAUAGUCCCAAAGAUAUUUCGCCGCAAGGCAGACCUGCUGAUUCCCGGAGCCCCUCUCCACGUUCUGAUGCUGAUGAGUAAAGGAGCAGACAUAUGAUAUGGUGGAUCCUCAGCUAGAGUUCCUGCUCAUCGUACUGUGUUUAGUUGCAACUGUUCUGGAGAGAAUAUCUUGGGAUUUUGACUGUUAUUAUAAAGUUAUUGGAUGCUAGAACUGAUUUCCCCUGGCUGAUCUUUAAGAGUGAAUGUGGAUUACUGGGCGAUGAUGUAGCAGCUGUUGAUGCUGUCUUUACUUUGCGGUUGGUUGAUAUCAUUUUUUGCGGUUGCAAAGUACAAUGUGUUUAUGAAUUUUCUGUGAUGCUGUCAUCGGUGGCAGUUGUAGUAGCUGUUAUGGCUUACAAGAUGGUUGCUGUUCACAUGCCUUAACAUGUAGCUGAUGCAGCUAAACUGCUGGACCGGAUAGACUGUAUUGCCGAUCAUAAUAUUAUAACCUUUGCUUGGCGGGAUAUUGUACCAUAAGGAUGUGUGAAAUACAAUUUGGCACAUGCAACAGUCUUAUGCUCUUAAGCUGAUGCUAGUUGCAUAUUGUUACAGCACGUGAGGUCGUGAUUGUAGAUAUGAAGUGAUAGCCGAUCCCUCAUACAUCGGUUGUUGCUGCACCUCUUGCUGAUAACUGUUGAACCUGGUCUUACUAUUUUUCGUGUUGAUAAGUGAUGCUUGAUAAUGGUAGCUGUGGUGCAGCUGGCUGCAGUAGCUGUUCAUUGUUUCAUUUGCUUCCAGCACGUGCUGCAGAUCCUGAUUUUUUAUGUUUUCUGUCUCAAAUAGUCAUUUGCAUUGCUCUGAAAAGGUAUUUUUUUUUCCAGUUGCAUCCAUUUCUUUGUCCUUCCUGUUGCCAUAUAACUUUUGAGCUUCAUGUAGAUUUUGAUGCCUCUGGUCAAUUUACACUUGGAUUUUUCUAGUACCUUAUAUCAUAUGCAAUUUGUAGUGAUUAUUUGUUACUGGAAAUUUCAAUCGAGUUUGCAUUAAUGGUAAUCCAUCCAAUAGUAUUCGGUAUGUUUCAAUUC